AAUUUUCUUUCUCCAUCCUCCCUACUAAUACGUACAGGACAUUUGUUCUCUUUAAAUCUUGCAGACUCAUAUCUUCACUCCUGCAUAUCAUCCCUCCCAUUGCAUACUUGCAUAACAAGUAUGGUUCACAGCAGUGCUUCCAUCCAACUUGUUUCACUAAUUUUACUGUCAGGAAUUCUAUACCUUGAAACCAUUAAACUUGGUUUCUGCAGUGCCGCUGAUCAUCAUAACGUGAAAUGCAUGGAUAUAGAGAGGAAAGCCCUUCUCAAGCUCAAACAAGGCCUUACAGAUCCUUCGGACCGGCUUUCGUCUUGGGUGGGAGAAGAUUGCUGCAAAUGGAAUGGUGUAGGCUGCAACAACAUAACGGGACGUGUCAACAGGCUCGAUCUUCGCAAUCGCUAUAAAAUAGGUGGGUUGGAUGGUGAUGGAGCAGCAGAGAAUGCAUUUGGAUUUGGUGGUGAGAUCAACCCUUCUUUGCUUGUUUUGAAAGAUUUGGUUUACUUGGAUUUGAGCAUGAAUAACUUUGGAGGUGUCCAGCUUCCAAGUUUCAUUGGAUCACUAGAGAAACUUACAUAUCUCAAUCUCUCUGGUGCAUCUUUUGGUGGAACCAUUCCCCCCAAUCUUGGAAACCUCUCAAGUUUGCUUUAUCUUGAUCUCAGUAAUUACUUUUUUGAACCAGUUGAGAAUGAUCUCCACUGGCUAAAGCUUGCAACUUUUUCUUCCUUAAAGUACCUCAACUUGGAAGGAGUUGACCUUUCCAAGGCUGCAUCAUAUUGGCUUCCCACUGUUAAUAUGCUCCCUUCCCUUGUUGAAUUGCGUUUGCCCUUUUGUAGACUUUCCAUCUUUCCUCUCGCUCUUCCUUCCAUCAAUUUCACAUCCCUUUUGGUUCUUGAUCUCUCUGGCAACGAUUUCAACUCCACGAUACCUCCCUGGAUGUUUAAUCUGACUGAACUAGUCCACCUUCACCUAAAGUCCAACAAUCUCCAUGGAGAACUUGCAGAAACAUUUGGUAGUUUGACGUCUCUCCAGACGCUUGAUUUAUCAGAGAAUUCCGACAUUGGAGGUCAGUUGCCAAGAAACUUGGGAAGGCUAUGCAGUUUGCAGACGCUAAGACUUUCUAUCAACAAAAUUACUGGUGAAAUUACUAAUUUCAUUGAUACGUUGUCUGCAUGCACAAACAGCAGCUUAGAGACAUUGGAUUUGGGAUAUAACAGACUGACAGGAAAACUGCCUGAUUCUUUGGGAUACCUUAAAAGCUUAAGAUACCUCACAUUAUGGGACAACUCAUUUCACGGUCCAAUCCCGAAAUCGAUUGGAAACUUAACAUCUUUGGAGGAGUUUUACCUCGCAAGAAAUCAAAUGAGUGGGAUCAUCCCAGAAAGUCUUGGGCAGCUCUCAUCGCUGGUUGCACUAGAUAUCUCUGAAAACACAUGGGAAGGUUUCAUAACAGGAGCUCAUUUGGCGAAACUUCGAGGCUUAAAAGAUGUAUCAAUUGAAAAAGCUUCGUCAAACAUUUCCUUAGUUUUCGACAUACCUUUUGAUUGGAUACCUCCUUUCAAAUUAAGAUACUUGAACAUUAGAUCAUGCAAACUGGGUCCCAAAUUUCCUACAUGGCUCAGAAAUCAGACUGAGCUGACCAUGGUGGUACUCAAUAAUGCUUUGAUUUCAGACACCAUACCAGAUUGGUUUUGGCAGUUGGAUUUGCAAUUGAGUAAACUAGAUGUCGCUUAUAAUCAGCUAAGCGGCAGGGUGCCCAACUCAUUAAGAUUCAGCUGUUCUUGCACCGUUGAUUUGAGUUCGAACAGGUUUGAGGGCUCCCUCCCACUCUGGUCAUCAAACAUCACCAUGCUGUAUCUUAGAGAUAAUCUGUUUUCAGGACCAAUUCCUCAUAACAUUGGUGAAGUGAUGCCCUCUCUGUCAGAUCUAGACAUUUCUAGGAACUCUUUGAGUGGAAGAAUUCCCCUGUCCCUUAGUAAUAUGAGCCAAUUAACAACCAUGGUUAUCUCAAACAACCACUUGUCUGGUCAGAUUCCUAAUUUUUGGAACAAAAUGCCAUUAUUGUAUAUUGUAGAUGUGUCAAACAACAGUCUCUCCGGUUCAAUCCCAAGAUCCUUAGGCUCUCUUACUUUACUCAACUUCUUGAUCCUCUCUAGCAACAACUUUUCCGGUGAAGUUCCUUCCUUGAGAAACUGCACUGACAUGAAGAGUCUUGAUCUUGGUGACAACAAGUUUUCUGGACCUAUUCCGGCUUCCAUAGGAGAAAAUAUGCUCUCUUUGUUGAUUUUAAGCUUGAGGCUCAACUCGUUUACUGGAAACAUACCUUCACAGUUAUGUGGCCUUUCCAAUCUCCACAUACUGGACCUCUCACACAACAAUCUCUCUGGAAAAAUUCCACAGUGCAUAGGUAAUUUGAGUGGCUUCAAAUCUGAGUUCACAGACAAAGAUAUAAGCAGUUAUCAGGGAAAACUGGAGGUGGUGUCAAAAGGAAGAGUGCUUGUAUAUGACUCCAUCCUUUACCUUGUUAAUAGUGUUGAUCUCUCAGACAAUAACUUGUCAGGAGAGAUGCCUGUGGGGCUGACAAGACUUUUAAUGUUGGGCACCUUGAAUUUGUCCAUGAAUCAUUUGACAGGAAAUAUCCCAGAAAAGAUCGGAAACUUGGAGCGGAUAGAAACUCUUGAUCUAUCAACAAACGAACUUUCAGGUUCAAUUCCACAGAGCAUGGUUUCUUUAACAUUUUUGAAUCAUCUCAACCUGUCAUACAAUAACUUGUCUGGGAGAAUUCCAACAGGCAACCAAUUUCAGACCCUGGUUGAUCCAUCAAUUUACGAGGGCAAUGCCGCUCUUUGCGGGUAUCCAUUACCCAGUUGCCAAGACGACAAUGGAGAAGCACCUCAAGUUCCAAGUGGAGAUGGAGAGGAUGAUGAUGAAAGUAAAUCUAAAAAGCUAGGGUUCAUCAUCAGCAUAGUGAUAGGUUUCAUUGUAGGGUUCUGGGGAGUUUGUGGGAGUUUGGUCAUCAAGAAGUCCUGGAGAUAUGCCUAUUUCCACUUCCUUGACAAAGUGAAAGAUGCUCUCCUUCGUUUUGUCUCAUCCAUUGGAACUUUUCUGCACAAAAGCUCAUAGACCACCACAGAAGAAACUGCAAAUGUAAAAAGCACAUGUUUGCAAGCAAAUAAAGCAAUGUUUUUUUUUUUUUUUUUGGGUUCAGAAAAUAAAGCAAUGUUUAGUAGUGUCCUAUGUUCUUGUUUUUUAAUUCUUUUUUUAGAGAAACAUAAAAUAGAAACGCGGUUUAUCUUGUUAUCGUACGGCGGAGCAAUGCCUCUGUGCUUCCUCUCCGUACGUCCUCCUCCACCUCCACUAAUUACCUGCCACGUUUCCCCAAGCGCAGUGCGCGCUCCACCUGCUGUUUCAGCUCCAGCAGCUCCUUCUCGCUCGUUAAGCCCCAACGCAACCCCUCCGCCCUCGCUAACCUGCGCCCUCCACUGCCCACACUUCGAAUCGUGCUCCGGGUGUACCCACGAGUUCAAUCUCCACCGUCCGGUCAUCGUUGACGAGGCUACAGAGUUCUUCAAGGCCGUUGGAGUCUCAGAUUUUACAUUUGACAGUUGCAAACUGUGGGGAUGGAGGUGUCGUGC